UCACUGUGUACAUAGAGACGGACAUUCUCGAGCACUGGAAUGUCAUGCAACUGACACGCAGUCGUAGACGCCUUAUGAGUGUGUUGACUCUUUGGACAGAUAAGGUGGACGCGGUUUAUUGCAAGUACGACGAUAAGCAUCGCUAUCCGUCAGCAGGCGCGGUAAUCGAGGAUGCAGCGUAUCGAUUAUGGGUUAAAGGGUGCGUAGGCGGUAUACAAGUCAGGGUGAAUCUUGUGCUUACAUUAAAUUGCUUGAAACUGUGGUACUGAGUGUAAAGAGGUAGGCGGAAUGUGUUGUGUAGCGUGAAAUGCAUAGAUAUAACACAGAACCCCGGAUUGCGAAGGCAGCUUACUAUCAUACACUGACGCUGAUGCACGAAAGCGUGGGGAUCAAACAGGAUUAGAUACCUGGUAGUCACGCAGUAAACGAUGAUUACUAGCUGUUAGCGAUAUAUUGUUAGUGGCUAAGCGAAAGCGAUAAGUAAUCCACUGGGGAGUACGUUCGCAAGAAUGAAACUCAAAGGAAUUGACGGGGGCCCGCACAAGCGGAGGAACAUGUGGUUUAAUUCGAUGAUACGCGAGGAACCUUACCCGGGCUUGAAAUGCUAUCGACCGACGGAGAGAUUCGUUAUCCAGCAAUGGCGAUAGUGUAGGUGCUGCAUGGUUGUCGUCAGCUCGUGCCGUGAGGUGUCGGCUUAAGUGCCAUAACGAGCGCAACCCUUGCCAAUAGUUACCAGCAUUUAGAUGGGGACUCUAUUGGGACUGCCACCGUAAGGUGAGAGGAAGGUGGGGAUGACGUCAAAUCAGCACGGCCCUUACGUCCGGGGCGACACACGUGUUACAAUGGGGAGUACAGAGGGUUGCUACACCGCGAGGUGAUGCUAAUCCCUUAAAACUUUUCUCAGUUCGGAUCGGAGUCUGCAACUCGACUCCGUGAAGCUGGAUUCGCUAGUAAUCGCGCAUCAGCCAUGGCGCGGUGAAUACGUUCCCGGGCCUUGUACACACCGCCCGUCAAGCCAUGGGAGUUGGGGGGACCUGAAGUUCGUGACCGCAAGGAGCGACCUAGGGUAAAACCGAUGACUGGGGCUAAGUCGUGACAAGGUAGCCGUACCGGAAGGUGCGGUUGGAACACCUCCUUC
rnacentral:rRNA from 1 species